GAUGAACGCUGGCGGCGUGCCUAAUACAUGCAAGUAGAACGCUGAAGGAGGAGCUUGCUCUUCUGGAUGAGUUGCGAACGGGUGAGUAACGCGUAGGUAACCUGCCUGGUAGCGGGGGAUAACUAUUGGAAACGAUAGCUAAUACCGCAUGACAACAGUUAUUGCAUGAUAACUGUUUAAAAGGGGCAACUGCUCCACUACCAGAUGGACCUGCGUUGUAUUAGCUAGUUGGUGAGGUAACGGCUCACCAAGGCGACGAUACAUAGCCGACCUGAGAGGGGGGUCAGCCACACUGGGACUGAGACACGGCCCAGACUCCUACGGGAGGCAGCAGUAGGGAAACUUCGGCAAUGGGCGGAAGUCUGACCGAGCAACGCCGCAUGAGUGAAGAAGGUUUUCGGAUCGUAAAGCUCGGUUGUAAGAGAAGAACGAGUGUGAGAGUGGAAAGUUCACUCUGUGACGGUAUCUGACCAGAAAGGAACGGCUAACUACGUG
rnacentral:rRNA from 1 species